rnacentral:rRNA from 1 species
CCCUUAGAUGUUCUGGGCCGCACGCGUGCUACACUGACCGGCGCAACAAGCUUCUUUCCUUGACCGAUAGGUCUGGGUAAUCUUUGAACGCUGUUCGUGAUUGGGAUAGACCUUUGCAAUUAUGGGUCUUCAACGAGGAAUUCCUAGUAAACGCAAGUCAUCAGCUUGCAUUGAUUACGUCCCUGCCCUUUGUACACACCGCCCGUCGCACCUACCGAUUGAAUGGUCCGGUGAAAUCUCGGGACGGCGGCUUGGUCGCUUGCGUCCGACUGCUGAAACUUGAUUAAACCAUAUCAUUUAGAGGAAGGUGAAGUCGUANCA